GUGCCGCAGCGCGGUAAUACCGGCAGCUCAAGUGAUGUCCCAUAUGAUUGGGCCUAAAGCGUCCGUAGCUGGCCGACCAAGUCUCCCGGGAAAUCCACCUGCCCAACAGGUGGGCGUCCGGCGGAAACUGUGUGGCUUGGAACCGGAAGGCUCAGAGGGUACGUCCGGGGUAGGAGUGAAAGCCCGUAAUCCCGGACGGACCACCGAUGGCGAAAGCACUCUGAGAAGACGGCUUCGACAGUGAGGGACGAAAGCUAGGGUCUCAAACCGGAUUAGAAACCCCGGUAGUCC
rnacentral:rRNA from 1 species